GGGCAUGAAGUCAAUACAGGACUCCGAGUAUAUUUCAUAACUAUUUACAGACAUAAUGGGCAGGAAAACUAAAGUUUCAGAAUCCUAUCAACAUGAGUCUGACCAAACUGCGGGAGGCAGUGGAAGAAACGAGUGCCUGGUGUGCUCUGGUCCAUGGGGUCACGAAGAGUUGGACAUUACUAAAUGACUAAACAACAACAACGCACGUGAGAUCAGUGCUAACCCUAAGCAAAAUCCUGUGCCAGCGUACUUGUGAGUAAGCCCCCUUAAACACGAAUGGAUGAAAACUUCUGGGUAGACAUGUGUCCCAUUGGUCUACAAGUUACGGUAACUAUCAUCUGGCUUGAAUACCACCCCAUUGUUCUCUUGACCUUUGCAUACUCCUCUUCCCAUAUACAGGACCCUCUCUCCUUUCCUUCACAUCCUUUCCAAGUCAUGUCACAUCUCCAGGACCUUUUUCCAGUUUAGUUAAAACUAAUUCUCCUUGACGGCACCAUAUCAAGACAUGAUCUUCAUAUGCCAUUAUUCUCUAUAUUCUUAUUAGCUGCAAGUGUAAGCUUAAAACUUCACCAAGAUUGAGAGCAAAAGCUUGACGAGGCCUUCAAUCCUUCUUCUAGUGAGCCAAGUUCCAUGGCCUGCUUAAAAAAAAGUAAAGAGAUGCCAAAAUGUUACAGUAUAUAAAUACUGUGUUCUACGUGCAAAAGACUAUGCAAAAGCCUUUGACUGUGUUGACCACAGCAAA